rnacentral:lncRNA from 1 species
AAAUACUAGGCUUUAGAAUUUCACCAUAUGAAUUUUGGGAGAGAGGAGCACAGUUCAGCCCAUAACUAACACACGACGGAAUGAAGUUGAUAAUAGUGAGACCUUGUUGGUACAAGACUAUGUAACAUAACCUGCGCUUCUCAACAAAGAAUUGCUUUUCUGACUUCUGCACUCAAUAGCAAGACAAAUCUCUCCUCUGCCUUCUCCUUAUCAGACUACUCAACAUGAAGGCAAUAAGAAUGAAGACCUCUAUGUAUAAUAAUUGACUUCCACUUAAUAAAUAAGGUUACUUGGUACACUGGUCGACAAAACCUUGAAAUGUUGAUGUUUAAGGGCUGUUGAUUGCUGGCAGCAAAGAAGUCCAACUGUGCUGGUACCCGAGAUAGCGUCUCCACAUUUUCUUCCAGGAUCAUCACCUUUGUUCUAAAUAGCUCCCACAUAGUGUGAACAGAAGUCAUAUGUUUUAGAUUUUCUGCCUUGGCACCCAGGAAACCAGUAUGAUUGAGUAAACAUAUUAAACUUCCUCUGCAUUUCCAGCCUGAACAGAUGUUGAGUACAAGCUGAUCCACCUACGUUCAACCUGAGAGAGUCCACAUCCACAGACUGUUUCAUUUCCCUUUUUCAAUUUACAUAGAAGCAUAGAUUCUUGCUGGCAUAUACAAAUGCGCCAUUUAAGGCAAUCAAAAAUGGUUCCACAUCUCAUCUGAUUUCCACAAUUGUUGCUGUAACGAUGGACUACUGAGGAGAGAGACAAUUUCUCUGGCACAUCUUCCCACAUUUUAGCAACAUGUUCAUGGAGAGCCAAUAUUCAGUAAUUACAGCCCAAUUCCUCACAAUUUCACAAUUCGCUAACAAUAUGCAUUUUCACAAUGUAAAGCUGAUUUUCCUUUAACCAAAUCAAACAUGAAAAGAUAGCUGCAUGCAAUGGGCAAUCUAGAUCAUUAGAAGAUUGAUGUAAAAUUAGAGGACACUGAGACUGGAAUAGAUUGCAAACUUCAGGGAGCUCAGAAAACUUGUAAACUCUACAUUUUGAGGAAAUAUGUUGUCGAUGCUUUUGCAACUCUAUGCAGUAACUUAACAAAUAAAGCCUUAAAGUAACUUAUCUACGAGUUACUUUGUCAUUAU